rnacentral:rRNA from 1 species
UACGGAGGGUGCAAGCGUUAUCCGGAUUCACUGGGUUUAAAGGGUGCGCAGGCGGGCAGGUAAGUCCGGGGUGAAAUCUCUGAGCUUAACUCAGAAACUGCCAUGGAUACUAUUUGUCUUGAAUAUUGUGGAGGUAAGCGGAAUAUGUCAUGUAGCGGUGAAAUGCUUAGAUAUGACAUAGAACACCAAUUGCGAAGGCAGCUUACUACACAGUUAUUGACGCUGAGGCACGAAAGCGUGGGGAUCAAACAGG